AGAGUUUGAUCCUGGCUCAGAACGAACGCUGGCGGCAGGCUUAACACAUGCAAGUCGAGCGCCCCGCAAGGGGAGCGGCAGACGGGUGAGUAACGCGUGGGAAUCUACCCAUCCCUACGGAACAACUCCGGGAAACUGGAGCUAAUACCGUAUACGCCCUUCGGGGGAAAGAUUUAUCGGGGAUGGAUGAGCCCGCGUUGGAUUAGCUAGUUGGUGGGGUAAAGGCCUACCAAGGCGACGAUCCAUAGCUGGUCUGAGAGGAUGAUCAGCCACAUUGGGACUGAGACACGGCCCAAACUCCUACGGGAGGCAGCAGUGGGGAAUAUUGGACAAUGGGCGCAAGCCUGAUCCAGCCAUGCCGCGUGAGUGAUGAAGGUCUUAGGAUUGUAAAGCUCUUUCACCGGAGAAGAUAAUGACGGUAU
rnacentral:rRNA from 1 species